GGCAGCCUGCGGGGCCGGUACGCGGCGCUCUACACGGGAGCGUGGGCGGCCGCGGCCCUGCUCGGCCCGCUCGGAGGCGGGUGGCUGCUC
rnacentral:tRNA from 1 species